rnacentral:rRNA from 1 species
UACGGAGGAUCCGAGCGUUAUCCGGAUUUAUUGGGUUUAAAGGGUGCGUAGGCGGAAAUGUAAGUCAGUGGUGAAAUCCUGCAGCUUAACUGUAGAAUAGCCGUUGAAACUGUGUUUCUUGAGUACAUUUGAGGUAGGCGGAAUGUGGUGUGUAGCGGUGAAAUGCAUAGAUAUACCACAGAACACCGAUUGCGAAGGCAGCUUACUAAACUGUCACUGACGCUGAUGCACGAAAACGUGGGUAUCAAACAGGAUUAGAUACCCCGGUA